rnacentral:rRNA from 1 species
AUUGAACGCUGGCGGCAUGCCUUACACAUGCAAGUCGAACGGCAGCACGGGAGCAAUCCUGGUGGCGAGUGGCGAACGGGUGAGUAAAGUAUCGGAACGUGCCCAGUCGUGGGGGAUAACGUAGCGAAAGUUACGCUAAUACCGCAUACGAUCUAUGGAUGAAAGCGGGGGAUCGCAAGACCUCGCGCGAUUGGAGCGGCCGGUAUCAGAUUAGGUAGUUGGUGGGGUAAAGGCUCACCAAGCCGACGAUCUGUAGCUGGUCUGAGAGGACGACCAGCAACACUGGGACUGAGACACGGCCCAGACUCCUACGGGAGGCAGCAGUGGGGAAUUUCGGACAAGGGGCGCAAGCCUGAUCCAGCCAUGCCGAGUGCAGGAUGAAGGCCUUCGGGUUGUAAACUGCUUUUGUACGGAACGAAAAGGUUUGACUUAAUACGUUGGACUCAUGACGGUACCGUAAGAAUAAGCACCGGCUAACUACGUGCCAGCCGCCGCCGUAA